rnacentral:rRNA from 1 species
UACAGAGGGUGCGAGCGUUGUCCGGAAUCACUGGGCGUAAAGGGCGCGUAGGUGGCGGGCCAAGUCCAUGGUAAAAGCUCGAUGCUCAACAUCGAGUCGGCCACGGAUACUGGUUCGCUUGAGCACUGUAGAGGCUAAUGGAAUUCCGGGUGUAGCGGUGGAAUGCGUAGAGAUCCGGAAGAACACCGGUGGCGAAGGCGGUUAGCUGGGCAGUUGCUGACACUGAGGCGCGACAGCGUGGGGAGCAAACAGG